rnacentral:rRNA from 1 species
UACGUAGGGUGCAAGCGUUAAUCGGAAUUACUGGGCGUAAAGCGUGCGCAGGCGGUUUUGUAAGUCUGACGUGAAAUCCCCGGGCUCAACCUGGGAAUUGCGUUGGAGACUGCAAGGCUGGAGUCUGGCAGAGGGGGGUAGAAUUCCACGUGUAGCAGUGAAAUGCGUAGAGAUGUGGAGGAACACCGAUGGCGAAGGCAGCCCCCUGGGUCAAGACUAGACGCUCAUGCACGAAAGCGUGGGGAGCAACAGG